AGAAAAGUCGUUUCUCAUUAAUCAAAAAAAAAUCUCUCAGUCAUGUUUCAUUGCCGUAAAUGUACCCAAAAAAUUAAACUAAAUUAAAUUACUAAAAAAUUGGGUAUAGCAGGGCGAAAGGGGCCGAGUCGACUAAUCCUUUGGCAAAGUCUUUGACAGUUGUCUUAGAUUGCACAACAACAAAGAGGAGAAACACAAUAACAUCUUCAUCAUUAUCAUUAUCAUUGUUUCCAGCACUGUGGGAUGAAAAAGUACAAUAAACAAAAGCAAACGAAGAAACAACAAA